GGCCCAUCUUCUCUGCUCUGCGUGUUCGAUUGAAUGCGAGUAUUUGGUAUGUUGUAAUGGAAUCGUGAGAUUGCAACUAAAUAGAGAAGCAGGACAAAGCGAAAAGCAACCCUUGCACAAUCGUUUUGAUGCGAACAUCCUACUUCUUGCAACGUUUCGGUCUCCAUCACUCUCACCGUUCUUCUUCCUCCUCAUUCCGUUUUCUCUGCACUUCCUCGCCGCCUUCGUUACUUGACUCCAAA
rnacentral:misc_RNA from 1 species